GUGAGGGAUAUUGGUCAAUGGGCGCAAGCCUGAACCAGCGACGCCGCGUGGGUGAAGAAGGUCUUCGGAUCGUAAAGCCCUUUUCCCACUGAAGAGGAAGGACGGUAGGUGGGGAAGAAGUCUCGGCUGACUACGUGCCAGCAGCCGCGGUAAAACGUAGGAGACAAGCGUUAUCCGGAGUUACUGGGCGUAAAGGGCGUGCAGGUGGCGUCUUAAGUCUGUUGUGAAAGCGCCUGGCUUAACCGGGCGAGGCCAAUGGAGACUGAGAGGCUGGAGGACGGCGGAGGGGUGUGGAAUUCCGGGUGUAGUGGUGAAAUGCGUAGAGAUCCGGAGGAACACCAGAGGCGAAGGCGGCACUCUAAGCCGUACCUGACACUGAGACGCGACAGCACGGGGAGCAAACG
rnacentral:rRNA from 1 species